GAUGCAGAUACUGCUAUACUAUUAUAUUUGUUUUCUCAGGAGAUGGAUAGCCUAUUUUUUUUACAUGUGUUGGAGUGAAUGUUUCAAUAUAACAAUUUUUAUUAUGUAUAUUUUCACAGACUGUAAUGGUUGUUACAUAUUGAAGAGUUUGAUGUGUGUACAGUGUAAAAUAUUAUGGAUUGGAAGUCAGCAGAUACAGGGUCUGAGCAAGAACAGGACAGCAUUAUUAACCACUAGAUAUUUUCUACCAGCCUUCUAUAAUGCUAAGUAGAGUUGUUUCUAAUGGCUCCGGCCUUUUCAAGAUGGCAGCAGAGGUGUUUUGUUAUUAACCUGUAUGUCUUGGACCUGUUGCAGAUACAACAAACUGUUGGACCUGGGGCAUGGUACACACCAAGGUAUGGCCAGAGAACUUGGUUAGUGUGUUAGUAGCACAUUGCCGCAGGGCUGUUGUCUGUAGUUUCACCUGGAUAACAAUUAACAUAGGAUGUUUAAUGUGUCCACACAAAAGUACUUGAAAGGUGUUGAUAAGAGAGCAGGAAUGCAGCAAGGUUAUCUGUACAAGGUAGCGGGUUUAAUUGCCUUUGAGACUCCAUCUUGUCAGCAUGAUGUGGAUUACUGCUGUCUGGGUAUCCAGCUUGCCAGCAUGAUGUGGAUCAGUGCCCUCAAAUGUCCAUCUUGUUAGCAUGAUGUUGAUCACUGCCUUCUGAUAGUACACCUUGUCAGCAUGGUAUGAUAGUACACCUUGUCAGCAUGGUAUGGAUUACUGCCGUCUGGGUAUCCAGCUUGUCAGCAUGAUGUGGAUUACUGCCAUCUUGGUAUCCAGCAUGAUGUGGACCAGUGCCCUCAAAUGUCCAGAUUAUCAGCAUGAUGUGGAUCUCUGACUGCAGGUGUCCAGCUUGUCAGCAUGAUGUGGAUCACUGCCCUCAAGUGUCCAUCUUGUCAACAUGAUGUAGAUCACUGCCUUCUGGUUGUCCAUCUUGUCAGCACAAUGUUGAUUGAUACCUUCUUGGUGUUCAUCUUGAUGAAUGCCUUCUGGGUGACCAGCUUGUGACCAUGAUGUGGAUCUAUGCCUUCAUGGUGUCUGUCUUGUUUGCAUGAUGUGGAUAACUGCCAUCUUGGUGUCCAACUUGUCAGUGUAAAGGCCAUAAGAACCUAUUUGGAGAGGGAAGAUCACAGACAGUGGACAUACUUCAUAUACAUUUAAAAGUGUGACCAGCAACAUAGAUGGGAAGCUACCGAAAGGGUAUGGAGGCCCCACUGUGAUGUACUGUAGGGAGGCCCUACUGUAAAAAUUGAAGCUCACCUGAGUAACAUACAGGCAAGCAUGACCCUACGUUUGUCGGUCACACUCACCUGAGUAACAUACAGGCAAGCAUGACCCUACGUUUGUCGGUCACACUCACCUGAGUAACAUACAGGCAAGCAUGACCCUACGUUUGUCAGUCACACUCA
rnacentral:lncRNA from 1 species